GAUGAACGCUGGCGGCGUGCUUAACACAUGCAAGUCGAACGAUGAUGGGAGCUUGCUCCUGGAUUAGUGGCGAACGGGUGAGUAACACGUGAGUAACCUGCCCUUGACUCUGGGAUAAGCCUGGGAAACUGGGUCUAAUACCGGAUAUGACCUUCCAUCGCAUGGUGGUUGGUGGAAAGCUUUUGUGGUUUUGGAUGGACUCGCGGCCUAUCAGCUUGUUGGUGGGGUAAUGGCCUACCAAGGCGACGACGGGUAGCCGGCCUGAGAGGGUGACCGGCCACACUGGGACUGAGACACGGCCCAGACUCCUACGGGAGGCAGCAGUGGGGAAUAUUGCACAAUGGGCGCAAGCCUGAUGCAGCGACGCCGCGUGAGGGAUGACGGCCUUCGGGUUGUAAACCUCUUUCAGUAGGGAAGAAGCGUAAGUGACGGUACCUGCAGAAGAAGCGCCGGCUAACUACGUGCCAGCAGCCGCGGUAAUACGUAGGGCGCAAGCGUUAUCCGGAAUUAUUGGGCGUAAAGAGCUCGUAGGCGGUUUGUCGCGUCUGCCGUGAAAGUCCGGGGCUCAACUCCGGAUCUGCGGUGGGUACGGGCAGACUAGAGUGAUGUAGGGGAGACUGGAAUUCCUGGUGUAGCGGUGAAAUGCGCAGAUAUCAGGAGGAACACCGAUGGCGAAGGCAGGUCUCUGGGCAUUAACUGACGCUGAGGAGCGAAAGCAUGGGGAGCGAACAGGAUUAGAUACCCUGGUAGUCCAUGCCGUAAACGUUGGGCACUAGGUGUGGGGGACAUUCCACGUUUUCCGCGCCGUAGCUAACGCAUUAAGUGCCCCGCCUGGGGAGUACGGCCGCAAGGCUAAAACUCAAAGGAAUUGACGGGGGCCCGCACAAGCGGCGGAGCAUGCGGAUUAAUUCGAUGCAACGCGAAGAACCUUACCAAGGCUUGACAUGAACCGGAAAGAUCUGGAAACAGGUCCCCCACUUGUGGUCGGUUUACAGGUGGUGCAUGGUUGUCGUCAGCUCGUGUCGUGAGAUGUUGGGUUAAGUCCCGCAACGAGCGCAACCCUCGUUCUAUGUUGCCAGCACGUGAUGGUGGGGACUCAUAGGAGACUGCCGGGGUCAACUCGGAGGAAGGUGGGGACGACGUCAAAUCAUCAUGCCCCUUAUGUCUUGGGCUUCACGCAUGCUACAAUGGCCGGUACAAAGGGUUGCGAUACUGUGAGGUGGAGCUAAUCCCAAAAAGCCGGUCUCAGUUCGGAUUGGGGUCUGCAACUCGACCCCAUGAAGUCGGAGUCGCUAGUAAUCGCAGAUCAGCAACGCUGCGGUGAAUACGUUCCCGGGCCU
rnacentral:rRNA from 1 species